rnacentral:rRNA from 1 species
GUGAACGCUGGCGGUAGGCCUAACACAUGCAAGUCGAACGGCAGCACAGUAAGAGCUUGCUCUUACGGGUGGCGAGUGGCGGACAGGUGAGGAAUACAUCGGAAUCUACUUUUUCGUGGGGGAUAACGUAGGGAAACUUACGCUAAUACCGCAUACGACCUACGGGUGAAAGCAGGGGAUCUUCGGACCUUGCGCGAUUGAAUGAGCCGAUGUCGGAUUAGCUAGUUGGCGGGGUAAAGGCCCACCAAGGCGACGAUCCGUAGCUGGUCUGAGAGGAUGAUCAGCCACACUGGAACUGAGACACGGUCCAGACUCCUACGGGAGGCAGCAGUGGGGAAUAUUGGACAAUGGGCGCAAGCCUGAUCCAGCCAGACCGCGUGGGUGAAGAAGGCCUUCGGGUUGUAAAGCCCUUUUGUUGGGAAAGAAAAGCAGCAGGUUAAUACCCCGCUGUUCUGACGGUACCCAAAGAAUAAGCACCGGCUAACUUCGUG